UACGUAGGGGGCGAGCGUUGUCCGGAUUUAUUGGGCGUAAAGAGCUCGUAGGCGGCUUGGCAAGUCGGGUGUGAAACCUCCAGGCUCAACCUGGAGACGCCACUCGAUACUGCCAUGGCUAGAGUCCGGUAGGGGACCACGGAAUUCCUGGUGUAGCGGUGAAAUGCGCAGAUAUCAGGAAGAACACCCGUGGCUAAGGCGGCUCUCUAGUACGGUACUGACGCUGAGACGCGAAAGCGUGGGGAGCGAACAGG
rnacentral:rRNA from 1 species